rnacentral:rRNA from 1 species
UACGUAGGGCGCAAGCGUUGUCCGGAAUUAUUGGGCGUAAAGAGCUCGUAGGCGGUUUGUCGCGUCUGCUGUGAAAGCCCGGGGCUCAACCCCGGGUGUGCAGUGGGUACGGGCAGGCUGGAGUGCAGUAGGGGAGACUGGAAUUCCUGGUGUAGCGGUGAAAUGCGCAGAUAUAUGGAAGAACACCGAUGGCGAAGGCAGGUCUCUGGGCCACUACUGACGCUGAGGAGCGAAAGCAUGGGGAGCAAACAGG